rnacentral:rRNA from 1 species
GACGAACGCUGGCGGCGUGCUUAACACAUGCAAGUCGAACGGUAAGGCCCUUCGGGGUACACGAAUGGCGAACGGGUGAGUAACACGUGGGUGAUCUGCCCUGCACUUCGGGAUAAGCCUGGGAAACUGGGUCUAAUACCGGAUAGGACCACUGCCUGCAUGGGUGGUGGUGGAAAGCUUUUGCGGUGUGGGAUGGGCCCGCGGCCUAUCAGCUUGUUGGUGGGGUGAUGGCCUACCAAGGCGACGACGGGUAGCCGGCCUGAGAGGGUGACCGGCCAGAAUGGGACUGAGAUACGGCCCAGACGCCUGCGGGAGGCAGCAGUGGGGAAUAUUGCACAAUGGGCGCAAGCCUGAUGCAGCGACGCCGCGUGAGGGAUGACGGCCUUCGGGUUGUAAACCUCUUUCAGCACCGACGAAGCGCAAGUGACGGUAGGUGCAGAAGAAGGACCGGCCAACUACGUGCCAGCCGCCGCAGUAA